GUUGCUUCUUACUGGUGAACUCACUCUGUUUUUUAACAAACAAAAGUGAGAGACGUUCGUGUUUCCGAAGCAUAGAUCGAUUUGCUUUUGCCAGAAUUAAACAGCUCGCUGCAUUACACGAUUGUGUUUUGUUGCAUCGUGUUACCUGUCUUCUGGUACAUUU